rnacentral:lncRNA from 1 species
CAAGGAAUAAAGUUCUGUGUUCCCAAAGCAUAUGGAAAAACUCUGGAUACUGUACCAUUUGUUAAAGGCAUGGCUUUCCGAUACCGAGGACCUGCAGUGUCACGUACAGAUGGAAGGCAGAGAAGGUGUCGCUCGGGACUCGGAGGUGCUGCUGCAUCUUUGCUUACGAGUACAAAUACGAACAAGGCUGCUUUUCCUUUUCCGCUGGGACAAACCGUGUCGUUUAUUGGCCUGUUACACCCUGAACAAGCGUGCCCGAGAGCCAGAGAAAGGAGCCCCAAGUGUAUUUGCCUUUUGCCCGCCAUAUACACCCGGAGGAGAGCCCUCAGACAGCAUGUCUGUAACACGGGCAUGGCACACCAGCCGCGGCCGGGGAGCUCACAGAUUAGUAGAGUGAACUUCUAAUGGUUCUCCAUUUUCAUGAUAUGAAGAACAGUAACAAAAAUCCUUCCCUUACAGCCCUGGAGGGUCUAUCUUUUCUUCUAUUUGCUAUAAUCUCAAUCACCAAUUUAAGCAUCUGGUACAUCUGUAGCUCACCGAGGGAUCUGUGGGCACGGUCAGAAUGUAGUUUAACCAUUCAAAGACUUUCUGUCAUUUACUGCAAAGGCCUGCACCUGUAGGCCAUGACUUGAUGAGCUAUAACUACAGAAAUACAGUGAAAAGCAGAGGAUUUUUUUUUUUUUUAAAUAAAUCAGGAACAGUUUGUUGAUGGAUUGCUGAUUGCCACUACUUAGUUCUGCUGCCAGUAAUAAAUUUUAUAUUGCAGCUGCCCUUGGAGCAUCUUCCUCCCCUUGUUCCACAGUGCCUGCUACAGACUGUGUGGCACCAAUGAUUACACAUAAUUGCAGCCAGUCUCUCUCCUUCCUCAACCCAGCAAAGAGGGCAAGCAUGAGAAAAACCCAUAUAUGUGCUACAGAACUAGCAGAGUCUUCAUGAACCGUUUUGUUCCGGUCACUGUGAAACGCCGUAUGUCAGUGAUUGAAAUGGAUUCACACAGGUAUAAAGAAGGUGAUCCUCUGCAGCUAAUCCAAUAAAGAAACAAAAAUACUUACAUUUCACAGACUCCAUUAAUAACUAUAAAGCUUUUAUCUGUGGGUUGCUCAUUUACGGUCUAGCUUCAUAUCCACAAGGAACACUGCACCCUAACACUGCAGCUGUAACGUACAUCAGUGGCCCUUCAGAGAAUGUUAGAAGAUGACAAGAGAGUCUGAGUAAAAGUGGAUGGUGUAUUUAUUGACUUAAAGGUUCUUAAAAACCUCAAACUGUAGGCAGAAAUUACUUUUGCUUCUUUCAGAUAAACAUGUUACUUUACACCUCUGUAGAACUGGCAAGUGUUUCCAUUCUACUACAGAGAAAACAGGGAAUAUUCAUUUGUAGCUUUUCUAGCAAAAAGCAGAUCUGCUAAAUUCAGGGCAUGAUUCUGCUAGCUAGGAAAGAUAAUCAGCAAAUCAAAUUUCCUGCGGUAAUCCUCAAUUUACAUAAGGUAAGGUGUACUAUUCUAUCUUGUAUCUACAGAAGACAUUUCCAAGACUUUUUCCCCCCCACGGCUAACAAAAAUGACAGCCUCAUUUAUUUUCAGUCACAUAUAAAUAAUGCAGCUGAUAAUCAAAACAGGUAUACCCAGAAAAAUACAAGAAUGCUUUUCUGAAACUGUGGCAGAGACAGAGCAGGGAAAUUGUUAUUGGCAGCUCAUUAGAGAAUAUAUUACCUAUUCAGUAAACUCCAUGCUUAUCGUGAAACUCAUUUAAGUGCUUUGCUGAACUCAUGUCUGUGUCUGGUUUAAAUAAUUCACAUAGAUUCCUAGUUUUCCUUUACUUUUGGUGCACUGUGCACCAUUCCAUUCAUAUUUGUGGUAAAAGUGAUUCACCAACAACUGAAGGGAGAAAAUAAAAAGGUGUCACUUAUGCCCUAAGUAGUGGAGAUAGAUAAGAGCUGGCAGCAUUCGCAAAUACCAUCUUAUAAGGUAUUUAUUUUAACCUUUUUAGUCUAGAGAAACUUUAGAUUUUAC